AUUGAACGCUGGCGGCAUGCCUUACACAUGCAAGUCGAACGGCAGCACGGGAGCAAUCCUGGUGGCGAGUGGCGAACGGGUGAGUAAUAUAUCGGAACGUGCCCAGUCGUGGGGGAUAACGUAGCGAAAGCCACGCUAAUACCGCAUACGAUCUAUGGAUGAAAGCGGGGGAUCGCAAGACCUCGCGCGAUUGGAGCGGCCGAUAUCAGAUUAGGUAGUUGGUGAGGUAAAGGCUCACCAAGCCGACGAUCUGUAGCUGGUCUGAGAGGACGACCAGCCAAACUGGGAAUGGGACACGGCCCAGACUCCGACGGGAGGCAGCAGUGGGGAAUUUUGGACAAUGGGGGCAAGCCUGAUCCAGCAAUGCCGCGGGCAGGAUGAAGGCCUUCGGGUUGUAAACUGCUUUUGUACGGAACGAAACGGCGAGCUCUAAUACAGUUUGCUAAUGACGGUACCGUAAGAAUAAGCACCGGCUAACUACGUGCCAGCAGCCGCCGUAA
rnacentral:rRNA from 1 species